rnacentral:rRNA from 1 species
UACGAAGGGGGCUAGCGUUGUUCGGAAUUACUGGGCGUAAAGCGCGCGCAGGCGGUCUUCCAAGUCAGUGGUGAAAGCCCGGAGCUCAACUCCGGAACUGCCAUUGAAACUGUUAGACUUGAGGAUGAGAGAGGUGAGUGGAAUUCCCAGUGUAGAGGUGAAAUUCGUAGGUAUUGGGAAGAACACCGGUGGCGAAGGCGGCUCACUGGCUCAUUACUGACGCUCAGGCGCGAUAGCGUGGGGAUCAAACAGG